AGAAGAGUGCCUCGUAAGAGGAGCCUCUCACACAGGUGCUGCAUGGCUGUCGUCAGCUCGUGCCGUGAGGUGUUGGGUUAAGUCCCGCAACGAGCGCAACCCUCAUCUCUAGUUGCCAUCAUUAAGUUGGGCACUCUAGAGAAACUGCCGCAGUUAAUGCGGAGGAAGGUGGGAUGACGUCAAGUCCUCAUGGCCCUUAUGUCCAGGGCUACACACGUGCUACAAUGGGCUGUACAGAGGGUAGCGACCUCGCGAGAGCAAGCCAAUCCCAAAAAGCAGUCCUUAGUUCGGAUUGGAGUCUGCAACUCGACUCCAUGAAGCUGGAAUCGCUAGUAAUCGCGGAUCAGCAUGCCCGCGGUCGAAUACGUUCCCGGGCCUU
rnacentral:rRNA from 1 species